rnacentral:sRNA from 1 species
GAGUUACAAGAGAAAAUGAUCACAUGCAUCAGAGGCUUGGAGAAAGCUAAAGUGAUUCAGCCAGGAUGGAGUGCAAUGGUGCGAUCUCGGCUCACCACAACCUCCCCCUGCCAGGUUACGGUGUUCAGUAUGAUUACUUAGAUCCCCGUCAGAUCACUCCUUCCCUGGAGACUCAUUUGGUUCAACGACUCUUCUUUGCUGG